GGCCCCGCCCCGCAGCCCAGCCGGAAGGGCAGGCGGACGCUCGCUGCUGGGUCGGCUCGCUGGCUCGGGCUCCGCGGCUCCGGUGGUUGCCAUGGCGGCGGUUGUCGCGGCGACGAGGUGGUGGCGGCUGUUGCUGGUGCUGAGCGCCGCGGGGAUGGGGGCCUCGGGCGCCCCGCAGCCCCCCAAUAUCCUGCUUCUGCUCAUGGACGACAUGGGAUGGGGCGACCUCGGGGUGUACGGAGAGCCCUCCAGAGAGACCCCGAAUUUGGACCGGAUGGCUGCAGAAGGGAUGCUUUUCCCAAACUUCUAUUCUGCCAACCCUCUGUGCUCACCAUCCAGGGCGGCACUGCUCACGGGACGGCUGCCCAUCCGCAAUGGCUUCUACACCACCAACGCCCAUGCCAGAAACGCCUACACGCCGCAGGAAAUUGUGGGCGGUAUCCCAGACUCGGAGCAGCUCCUCCCGGAGCUUCUGAAGGAGGCCGGCUACGUCAGCAAGAUCAUCGGCAAGUGGCAUCUGGGUCACAGGCCCCAGUUCCACCCCCUGAAGCACGGAUUUGAUGAGUGGUUUGGAUCCCCCAACUGCCACUUUGGACCUUAUGACAACAAGGCCAGGCCCAACAUCCCUGUGUACAGGGACUGGGAGAUGGUUGGCAGAUAUUACGAAGAAUUUCCGAUUAAUCUGAAGACGGGGGAAGCCAACCUCACCCAGAUCUACCUGCAGGAAGCCCUGGACUUCAUUAAGAGACAGGCACGGCGCCACCCCUUCUUCCUCUACUGGGCUGUCGACGCCACACACGCACCCGUCUACGCCUCCAAACCCUUCUUGGGCACCAGUCAGCGAGGGCGGUAUGGAGAUGCCGUCCGGGAGAUUGAUGACAGUGUUGGGAAGAUGCUGGAGCUUCUCCACGACCUGCACAUCGCGGACAACACCUUCGUCUUCUUCACAUCGGACAACGGCGCUGCCCUCAUUUCCGCCCCUGAACAAGCUGGCAGCAACGGCCCCUUUCUGUGUGGGAAGCAGACCACGUUUGAAGGAGGGAUGAGGGAGCCUGCCCUCGCGUGGUGGCCGGGGCACAUCGCCGCAGGCCAGGUGAGCCACCAGCUGGGCAGUAUCAUGGACCUCUUCACCACCAGCCUGGCGCUUGCAGGCCUGACGCCGCCCAGAGACAGGGCCAUUGAUGGCCUCAGUCUCCUCCCCGCCCUCCUGCAGGGCCGGCUGAUGGACAGGCCCGUCUUCUAUUACCGCGGUGAUACGCUGAUGGCGACCACCCUCGGGCAGCACAAGGCUCACUUCUGGACCUGGACCAACUCCUGGGAGAACUUCAGACAGGGCAUUGAUUUCUGCCCUGGGCAGAACGUUUCCGGGGUCACGACUCACAGCCUGGAAGACCACACGAAGCUGCCCCUGAUCUUCCACCUGGGACGGGACCCGGGGGAGAGGUUCCCCCUGAGCUUUGCCAGCGCUGAGUACCAGGAGGCCCUCAGCAGGAUCACUUCGGUCGUCCAGCAGCACCAGGAGGCCUUGGUCCCCGGGCAGCCCCAGCUCAACGUGUGCAACUGGGCAGUGAUGGCUUUGGUGGCUGCCCUCCAACCAGCGUUGCCCACUCUGCCGGCAGAAAAGAUAAAAGACAAGUCUCCUAUGACUGAGCAUUGGGCUAAUAAGUGCCCAUAUCCCUGCCCGCCUUCCACGCCAUGUCCAGCUUGCCAGCAGGAGAGGCAUUGGAAGUCUGAUUGCCCCGCCAUCAGGACAGGCACCGCGCCUCAACGUAGUGCCUCUCCUCAAAGAUGGGAAGGCUCCUUCCAACUCCUACACCUUGACGAGGACUGACGGUGCCCACACUCGGAGACCCCGGUCACCCCAGCCCAGGGUAACGCUACAGGUAGCGGAUUCUCUCAACAUUACCUGGACUCAUCAAGCAACAACUAACCAGAACCUCCACAGAGGCACAUCAAUCGUGGGGUCCAAGAAAAUUACUCGAGUUUCCUUCAAUCAAAUGCUCCUACACCCUUACACCCAACUGCCAACCUCAGACCCUAACUAUGCCCCUUAACAGCAGGAAGCAGCCAGAGAGAAAACUGCGCCCUAAAAUCUUAUAAUCAAUGAGAGGUUGGACUGUUUGGGUGAAGGAAUGGGCCAAGAUGGAGGAAAAAUGAACAAGAUGGCAUAGUCCCUGUUGCUUCCGGAUUCUUCACCACCAAUUUACCUGCGCCAGAAAAGCGCAAACCAACUGAGCAUGCGCCAAGUGACGUCAACCUGAAGAAAUCAAAACUUACCCAUCCACGCCCAUGAAGACACCCCCGUCCCACCCACUGCCCUCCCCUUUCCGGUCGCAAGGCAUAAAAAUCUGUCGCCGGCAAGUGCCAGCGUGACUUCUCCAGCCCGCGACUUCUCUGGCCCGCGACUUCCCUGGCCCUCCCUACUUGCAGACCGGAGAACCUCGCCCGAGAGCACGUGCAUAUUUGCAAAUAAAGGGUACCACUUUCUUUAUUUGA